rnacentral:rRNA from 1 species
UACGUAGGGUGCGAGCGUUGCCCGGAUUUAUUGGGCGUAAAGGGCGCGUAGGCGGCUCGGCACGUCCGUUGUGAAAUCGCCCGGCUCAACUGGGCGGGGUCGGCGGAUACGGCCGAGCCGGAGCAAGCUAGGGGGUAAUGGAAUUCCCGGUGUAGUGGUGGAAUGCGUAGAUAUCGGGAGGAACACCAGUGGCGAAGGCGGUUACCUGGAGCUUUGCUGACGCUGAUGCGCGAAAGCGUGGGGAGCGAGUCCGG